AAAAACAAAAAUUUAAAAGGUAAUUAUUGAUAAGCCUUAAAGAUCGUAUUCAUUAAACUUUAUUUCUCCUAUACACCAGUUAUAGUGUUAGAACCUGGGGGAAAACAGCCCUAUGAUUAAAAUUAGUGAAGUCCCUCCCUGUCUUUGAGGAAUUUACAGUUAUGUGACAGGUAUGCUGGCUAAAUGAGCUUUUAAGUUGGGGAUGCUUUCUUUACUUGCCUUUUUAAAAUUCCUUUUCUUUGACUUUUGUAUGUGACCAUUGAUGACAUUAACCUUCAGAGGUGAGAAAUCGAAAACUCUUAGAUUCUGCCGUCUGUCUCAUCUCACUGGAGAUUGUUUAAUAUGAUGUAGGUUGUACUUUAUAGUAGUCUUUUUCACUCUGGCAUCCUUCUAUCUAGGGCACCAGAACAAGCACCUCUGAAAAGUAAAAUGAUCUAUGCAAGCUCGAAGGACGCCAUCAAGAAGAAAUUUCCAGGUAUAAAGCACGAGUAUCAAGCAAAUGGGCCAGAAGACCUCAAUCGGACUAGUAUUGCUGAAAAGCUAGGUGGCUCCUUAAUUGUAGCGUUCGAAGGAUCCCCUGUGUAGAUUAUCAGUCAGUGCCACGAAUUGAAAGCUUCCAUAUUUAACACUAUCCUUUCACUAUAUAAGUAAAGCAAAUAUAUUAGGCCAGGAUCUCACUGAGGGGAAUUUGUCUUGUCAUCUUUUAGAGUAAACUAAAAAUUUUAUAGUGUCUGCAAAUACUACCCUACAUAAAUCUAGCCUCUAAAGUUUCAUUGGUGUGGAAUUAAAUUCUUAU
rnacentral:lncRNA from 1 species